UACGUAGGGGGCAAGCGUUGUCCGGAUUUAUUGGGCGUAAAGAGCGCGCAGGCGGUCCGUUAAGUCUGGCGUGAAAUCUCCCGGCUCAACUGGGAGGGGUCGUCGGAGACUGGCGGACUGGAGGGCAGGAGAGGGAAGUGGAAUUCCGGGUGUAGUGGUGAAAUGCGUAGAUAUCCGGAGGAACACCGGUGGCGAAGGCGGCUUCCUGGACUGUACCUGACGCUGAGGCGCGAAGGCUAGGGGAGCGAACGGG
rnacentral:rRNA from 1 species